rnacentral:misc_RNA from 1 species
GAUGAAGAACGCAGCGAAAUGCGAUAAGUAGUGUGAAUUGCAGAAUUCAGUGAAUCAUCGAAUCUUUGAACGCACAUUGCGCCCCUUGGUAUUCCAUGGGGCAUGCCUGUUCGAGCGUCAUUUGUACCUUCAAGCUUUGCUUGGUGUUGGGUGUUUGUCUCGCCUUUGCGUGUAGACUCGCCUUAAAAUAAUUGGCAGCCGGCGUAUUGAUUUCGGAGCGCAGUACAUCUCGCGCUUUGCACUCAUAACGACAGCGUCCAAAAGUACAUUUUACACUCUUGACCUCGGCUCAGGUAGGGAUACCCGCUGAACUUAAGCAUAUCAAUAAGCGGAGGA